rnacentral:rRNA from 1 species
ACAUGUCCUAUAGUUAUUUAUGUUAGGUCUGGCCUGCCCAAUGAUUAUUAUUUAAUUUAAUGGCCGCGGUAUUUUGACUGCGCAAAGGUAGCGUAAUUAUUUGUCUUUUAAUUGGAGUCCAGUAUGAACGGCCGGACGAGGCAUAAGCUUUCUUUAACUUACUUUUUUGAAUUUAAUUUUUUAGUUAAAAAGCUUAAAUUUUUUUAAGGGACGAGAAGACCCUGUAGAUCUUUAUAAUAAUAUUAGUAGCAUCAAUGUGGGUUUUUGAUAAUGGUAACUGUUUACUGGUUUUAUUAUUUGACUGGGGCGAUUUUGGAAUUUAAAUAACUUUCAAUUUUAAAUACACUAGUAAGUGUAUAUUUUGAUCCAUUAUUAAUGAUUAAAAGAUUAAGUUACCUCAGGGAUAACAGCGUGAUCUUUUCUAAGAGAUCUUAUCGAAGGAAAGGAUUGCGACCUCGAUGUUGGAUUAAAAUAAGUGUUAGGCGUAGCCGUUUAAUAACUAGGUCUGUUCGACCUUUAAUUUUUUACAUGAUCUGA